rnacentral:rRNA from 1 species
ACGUACGCUGGCGGCACGCCUAACACAUGCAAGUCGAACGAAGUAGCAAUACUUAGUGGCAGACGGGUGAGUAACAUGUAGGUAUCUGCCCUUUGGCCUGGAAUAACACGAGGAAACUUGUGCUAAUACCGGAUAAGUCUUUACAGAGAAAGCUUUAUGCACCAUUGGAUGAGCCUGCACUUGAUUAGUUUGUUGGUGGGGUAAUGGCCUACCAAGACUGUGAUCAAUAGCUGAUUUGAGAGGAUGAUCAGCCACAUUGGGACUGAGACACGGCCCAAACUCCUACGGGAGGCAGCAGUGGGGAAUCUUGCACAAUGGAGGAAACUCUGAUCCAGCGAUGCCGCGUGAGUGAAGAAGGCCUUUGGGUUGUAAAGCUCUUUCGUCGGGGAAGAAAAUGACUGUACCCGAAUAAGAAGGUCCGGCUAACUUCGUGCCAGCAGCCGCGGUAAUACGAAGGGACCUAGCGUAGUUCGGAAUUACUGGGCUUAAAGAGUUCGUAGGUGGUUGAAAAAGUUAGUGGUGAAAUCCCAGAGCUUAACUCUGGAACUGCCAUUAAAACUUUUUAGCUAGAGUAUGAUAGAGGAAAGCAGAAUUUCUAGUGUAGAGGUGAAAUUCGUAGAUAUUAGAAAGAAUACCAAUUGCGAAGGCAGCUUUCUGGAUCAUUACUGACACUGAGGAACGAAAGCAUGGGUAGCGAAGAGGAUUAGAUACCCUCGUAGUCCAUGCCGUAAACGAUGUGUGUUAGACGUUGGAAAUUUAUUUUCAGUGUCGCAGCGAAAGCGAUAAACACACCGCCUGGGGAGUACGACCGCAAGGUUAAAACUCAAAUGAAUUGACGGGGACCCGCACAAGUAGUGGAGCAUGUGGUUUAAUUCGAAGAUACGCGCAGAACCUUACCAACACUUGACAUGUUCGUCGCGACUCUAAGAGAUUAGAGUUUUCGGUUCGGCCGGACGAAACACAGGUGCUGCAUGGCUGUCGUCAGCUCGUGUCGUGAGAUGUUGGGUUAAGUCCCGCAACGAGCGCAACCCUCACUUUUAGUUGCCAUCAUUAAGUUGGGCACUCUGAAAGAACUGCCAGUGAUAAGCUGGAGGAAGGUGGGGAUGACGUCAAGUCCUCAUGGCCCUUACGUGUUGGGCUACACACGUGCUACAAUGGUAUCUACAACAGGAAGCAAGACUGCGAAGUUAAGCAAAUCCCUAAAAGAUACCUCAGUUCGGAUUGCACUCUGCAACUCGAGUGCAUGAAGCUGGAAUUACUAGUAAUCGUGGAUCAGCGUGCCACGGUGAAUGCGUUCCCGGGUCUUGUACACACCGC